rnacentral:rRNA from 1 species
AGUGAACGCUGGCGGUAGGCCUAACACAUGCAAGUCGAACGGCAGCACAGUAAGAGCUUGCUCUUACGGGUGGCGAGUGGCGGACGGGUGAGGAAUACAUCGGAAUCUACUUUUUCGUGGGGGAUAACGUAGGGAAACUUACGCUAAUACCGCAUACGACCUACGGGUGAAAGCAGGGGAUCUUCGGACCUUGCGCGAUUGAAUGAGCCGAUGUCGGAUUAGCUAGUUGGCGGGGUAAAGGCCCACCAAGGCGACGAUCCGUAGCUGGUCUGAGAGGAUGAUCCGCCAAACUGGAAACUGGACCCCGUCCCAGCCCCUACGGGGGGCAGCAGGGGGGAAUAUUGGGCAAUGGGGCCAAGCCUUGUCCAAGCAUACCGGGUGGGUUAAAGAGGCCUUUGGGUUUGUAAGCCCUUUUUUUGGGGAAAAAAAACCGGCGGGUUAAUACCCCGCUUUUCUGCGGGACCCAAAAGAUAAACCACCGCUUACUUCGUG